ACGAACGCUGGCGGCGUGCCUAAUACAUGCAAGUCGAACGCUUCUUUUUCCAUCGGAGCUUGCUCCACCGGAAAAAGAGGAGUGGCGAACGGGUGAGUAACACGUGGGUAACCUGCCCAUCAGAAGGGGAUAACACUUGGAAACAGGUGCUAAUACCGUAUAACAAUCGAAACCGCAUGGUUUUGAUUUGAAAGGCGCUUUCGGGUGUCGCUGAUGGAUGGACCCGCGGUGCAUUAGCUAGUUGGUGAGGUAACGGCUCACCAAGGCGACGAUGCAUAGCCGACCUGAGAGGGUGAUCGGCCACAUUGGGACUGAGACACGGCCCAAACUCCUACGGGAGGCAGCAGUAGGGAAUCUUCGGCAAUGGACGAAAGUCUGACCGAGCAACGCCGCGUGAGUGAAGAAGGUUUUCGGAUCGUAAAACUCUGUUGUUAGAGAAGAACAAGGAUGAGAGUAACUGUUCAUCCCUUGACGGUAUCUAACCAGAAAGCCACGGCUAACUACGUGCCAGCAGCCGCGGUAAUACGUAGGUGGCAAGCGUUGUCCGGAUUUAUUGGGCGUAAAGCGAGCGCAGGCGGUUUCUUAAGUCUGAUGUGAAAGCCCCCGGCUCAACCGGGGAGGGUCAUUGGAAACUGGGAGACUUGAGUGCAGAAGAGGAGAGUGGAAUUCCAUGUGUAGCGGUGAAAUGCGUAGAUAUAUGGAGGAACACCAGUGGCGAAGGCGGCUCUCUGGUCUGUAACUGACGCUGAGGCUCGAAAGCGUGGGGAGCAAACAGGAUUAGAUACCCUGGUAGUCCACGCCGUAAACGAUGAGUGCUAAGUGUUGGAGGGUUUCCGCCCUUCAGUGCUGCAGCUAACGCAUUAAGCACUCCGCCUGGGGAGUACGACCGCAAGGUUGAAACUCAAAGGAAUUGACGGGGGCCCGCACAAGCAGUGGAGUAUGUGGUUUAAUUCGACGCAACGCGAAGAACCUUACCAGGUCUUGACAUCCUUUGACCACUCUAGAGAUAGAGCUUCCCCUUCGGGGGCAAAGUGACAGGUGGUGCAUGGUUGUCGUCAGCUCGUGUCGUGAGAUGUUGGGUUAAGUCCCGCAACGAGCGCAACCCUUAUUGUUAGUUGCCAUCAUUUAGUUGGGCACUCUAGCAAGACUGCCGGUGACAAACCGGAGGAAGGUGGGGAUGACGUCAAAUCAUCAUGCCCCUUAUGACCUGGGCUACACACGUGCUACAAUGGGAAGUACAACGAGUCGCAAAGUCGCGAGGCUAAGCUAAUCUCUUAAAGCUUCUCUCAGUUCGGAUUGUAGGCUGCAACUCGCCUACAUGAAGCCGGAAUCGCUAGUAAUCGCGGAUCAGCACGCCGCGGUGAAUACGUUCCCGGGCCUUGUACACACCGCCCGUCACACCACGAGAGUUUGUAACACCCGAAGUCGGUGAGGUAACCUUUUGGAGCCAGCCGCCUAAGGUGGGAUAGAUGAUUGGGGUG
rnacentral:rRNA from 1 species